AUUGAACGCUAGCGGGAUGCCUAACACAUGCAAGUCGAACGGAGCGGCGAACGGGUGAGUAAUGUAUCGGAAUGUGCCUAGUAGCGGGGGAUAACGACGGGAAAGCGUAGCUAAUACCGCCUACUAUCAGAGCGGCCUAUGUCGGAUUCGCUAGUUGGUGGGUUAACGGCUAACCAAGGCGACGAUCCGUAACUGGUUUGAGAGGAGGACCAGCCACACUGGGACUGAGACACGGCCCAGACUCCUACGGGAGGCAGCAGUGGGGAAUUUUGGACAAUGGGGGAAAGCCGGAUACAGCCAUGCCGCGUGUGCGAUGAAGGCCUUCGGAUUGUAAAGCACUUUUGGCAGGAAGGCGGUACCUACAGAAUAAGCACCGGCUAACUACGUGCCAGCAGCCGCGGUAAUAC
rnacentral:rRNA from 1 species